GACGAACGCUGGCGGCGUGCUUAACACAUGCAAGUCGAACGCUGAAGCCCUUCGGGGUGGAUGAGUGGCGAACGGGUGAGUAACACGUGGGUAAUCUGCCCUGCACUCUGGGAUAAGCCUUGGAAACGGGGUCUAAUACCGGAUAGGACACAUCGCCGCAUGGUGUGUGUGUGGAAAGUUCCGGCGGUGCAGGUUGAGCCCGCGGCCUAUCAGCUUGUUGGUGGGGUGAUGGCGUACCAAGGCGAAGACGGGUAGCCGGCCUGAGAGGGUGACCGGCCACACUGGGACUGAGACACGGCCCAGACUCCGACGGGAGGCAGCAGUGGGGAAUCUUGCGCAAUGGGCGAAAGCCUGACGCAGCAACGCCGCGUGGGGGAUGACGGCCUUCGGGUUGUAAACCUCUUUCGACCGGGACGAAGGAUUCGUUUGACGGUACCGGUAGAAGAAGCACCGGCUAACUACGUGCCAGCCGCCGCCGUAA
rnacentral:rRNA from 1 species